rnacentral:rRNA from 1 species
UACGGAGGGUGCGAGUGUUAAUCGGAAUUACUGGGCGUAAAGAGUAUGUAGGCGGUUAGAUAAGUUGAAUGUGAAAUCUCUGGGCUCAACCUAGAAACUGCAUUCAAAACUGUUUAGCUAGAGUAUGGUAGAGGAUAGUGGAAUUUCCUGUGUAGCGGUGGAAUGUGUAGAUACAGGAAGGAACACCAGUUGCGAAGGCGGCUAUCUGGACCAAUACUGACGCUGAGAUACGAAAGCUUGGGUAGCAAACAGG